CCUACGGGUGGCUGCAGUGAGGAAUAUUGGUCAAUGGACGGAAGUCUGAACCAGCCAAGUCGCGUGAGGGAGGACGGCCCUACGGGUUGUAAACCUCUUUUGCCGGGGAGCAACGGGCGUCACGUGUGGCGUCACUGAGAGUACCCGGAGAAAAAGCAUCGGCUAACUCCGUGCCAGCAGCCGCGGUAAUACGGAGGAUGCGAGCGUUAUCCGGAUUUAUUGGGUUUAAAGGGUGCGUAGGCGGAUCGUUAAGUCAGUGGUCAAAUUGAGGGGCUCAACCCCUUCCCGCCAUUGAAACUGGCGUUCUUGAGUGGAAGAGAAGUAGGCGGAAUGCGUGGUGUAGCGGUGAAAUGCAUAGAUAUCACGCAGAACCCCGAUUGCGAAGGCAGCAUGCCGGCUUCCGACUGACGCUGAAGCACGAAAGCGUGGGGAUCGAACAGGAUUAGAUACCCUUGUAGUC
rnacentral:rRNA from 1 species